GUGCUGGUUUGGUAAUACUCGAAAAGACUAAUUUAGUUUUCUUAAUAACUAAAAUUACUAAAAGACAUUAAUUAUUUUCUAAGGUUUCAGGAUACCAAUUGCUCUCCUGUGCUGGUAUUGGUUGCCAACGGCAGUGAUAUCACGAUUAAUUUUCCCGGAGAAAACAACAACAAUCGAGUAUUCAGCAUUGUCAGUAGCUCUGGUAACAAUAAUCCAUCUAUGUUCGAUUGGAUAGGAGGCAACGGCGCCAACAAAGCACCUACAAUAUUGCUGGGAAAAUCGAAUGAGCCUGCAAUGCCACCCAGCUUGCCAAAAGAUUACAGUGCUGAAGAUGAUGAUACCUUACCUUCAAAUCGCAAACCAGUAUGGGGAAAACACGGAUUAAACGAAUUCGAGGUAACUGAUGGAAUUUUUCCUUUUGUAUCGACUGCCUCCCCGACAACAUUGCCGAACGUUACAACCAUAUCCGUGCCAUACACGCAUAAAGUUAUUGCAGCACCUGUUUGAUACUAUUAUACAGACCUGCUUUCAAACAUUAUUAAGAAACUGAAUGCAUUCGUAAAUAGAUGUGCACACGUAAUUGUCUCUGCUUUCAUGCACUUUUAUUCCUUGAUUUUAUUUUUUCUUACAUAGGUUUUGAUCAUGUUCCUUAUCUGGAAUUUACUUAGCACAUAUAAUUAGGAAGAAAGAGUUUAAUAAAUAUAUUCGAUUUUGAUUUGACUUUAUGUAUAUAAUGUGUAUAUAUGUAUAAGAAUAUUUGUGGUGAUAAUAUAUUGUUCAUGUCUUCAGAUAA